GCAGGGAACAGCAGUGGCUGGCGGGAGGAGGCAGCAGAGGAAAAGACAGGCUCAGAAACUGCAUAGCCUGGCCCUAGAAGUAUGCCUAGUUUGCCUAUGCAUUAAUCCAGCCCUGGGUUGCAGCUGAGGUUCUGGGGCAUCCUGGGCUUGCCUACCACACUCUCAUAGCUCAAAGUCCCAAACCAGGAGAGCAGGUGCAGCCAGGGCAUCAGGAGAAUCAGCACCAGCAGGGCACGGUGGCUCAGGCACCCCUCUGCCUUUACAAACAGCUCAUCGUACAUCACUCAAGGCAUAUGAAGCAGCAGGAUGCUUGGGAUGCAGCAGCAGCCAGGGCCAACAUCUGAACGUGGGGGAGAGCCCACCAGCCCCAGCAGGGAUGCUGCCUCAGUGUUGCCAUCACCCACUGCUGAGGCCCUCUGCAUGCACCACCUGCGCCAGCAGUGCACACAAGUUCAGACCCUCCUGGUCCAGCAAAUGGUGGUGGUGACCAAGGAGCGGGAGGUGCAGAAGCAGGCAUAGGAGGCACAGGAGCAGGUGUGGAAGGAGCAGGAGCUGGCCUGGCAGCAGGAGGGCAUUGUCCAGGAGACCACCUGAAAGGAUGCAUGGGCCCAGGCCCAACUGAAGUAGUGGGCAUGGAUGGAGGCCCAGGAGUUGGGACCAUGUUGAGCUGCUCUGGCAGCAGGUGGGCCUCCAGACCCAGGCAUUGGAGGCUGCAGAUGCUGACAGCUGGGCCCUAAACACCCUCCUGAGUCUGGUGGCAGUGUAUUUGCUCCUCACUACCCAGCCCCUGUCUGGGGCCCAGCAGGGCCCAUGGGUUCCACCUGCUGCCCUGCAGCAAGGCCCCACCUGGCCCAAGGAGGAGGCCGUCCAGUGCCUUCUGGCUGCUGUAACUCCUGGCCAGGCCCCCACCCCGGGUCUCAUGCCACCCACCUGGAACCAGCCCCACUGCUCAUCCCAAGGCCAUGCAGCCAAUGAACCAGAGGGGCCAGGUGCAGGACCACAGAGGUAUGCUGACCCUGGACUCUGACAAGCAGAGGGGGACCCAGAGCUGCAGAGGGAAUGGCCCAAGGCUGGGGGGCUGGGCACCUGCCCCUGGGCUCUGUCCCCUAGCCCCCCCACCCCACCCCGUGGCCCCCUAUUCUGGGACCAAAAGACUGAGACUGAUGUAAAUAGUUUGCACUUUAGAAAGCAGGUUUUUUAUUGGUGAUGAGUGGAGAGGAUGGUAGAAGGGCACUGUGUGUUGG